UGCGCAGCGUGAAGUCGGCCUCAUCGCCCACGCGGGAGGCGCUCGGUACCACCAGGUAGUGGCCAGGUGGCAGACGACAGCGGCGGCUCACGUCGCGGCGGGCGCAGAAAACCGAACGGUCGGCGCGCAGCAGCCCAGAAUGACUCAGUCUCUAGACCACCCCCUCCGAGGGCCCUCCGACCAGUUCCAAGGCCUCCACGGCCCACUGCUCCACCAGAACUCACCUUGAUCCCGCCCUUACCUGGAACACGUGGAAGCCCACAGUGAGGCUCCAACAGCGUCAGCCGGAACUGAGGAUUGGUCCAGAAGUUUUCUAACAGAAGAAAAGACGAUGGGGUUCCCACUGCCGCAGACCCCACCCCAGCUUGCCUCUUAGGGGGGCUCCAGGCCUCACCAGAACUCGGCUG